AACGAACGCUGGCGGCAUGCCUAAUACAUGCAAGUCGAACGAGCCCUUCGGGGCUAGUGGCGCACGGGUGCGUAACGCGUGGGAAUCUGCCCUUGGGUUCGGAAUAACGUCUGGAAACGGACGCUAAUACCGGAUGAUGACGAAAGUCCAAAGAUUUAUCGCCCGGGGAUGAGCCCGCGUAGGAUUAGCUAGUUGGUGAGGUAAAGGCUCACCAAGGCGACGAUCCUUAGCUGGUCUGAGAGGAUGAUCAGCCACACUGGGACUGAGACACGGCCCAGACUCCUACGGGAGGCAGCAGUAGGGAAUAUUGGACAAUGGGGGCAACCCUGAUCCAGCAAUGCCGCGUGAGUGAUGAAGGCCUUAGGGUUGUAAAGCUCUUUUACCCGGGAUGAUAAUGACAGUACCGGGAGAAUAAGCCCCGGCUAACUCCGUGCCAGCAGCCGCGGUAAUAC
rnacentral:rRNA from 1 species